CCCUUAGAUGUUCUGGGCUGCACGCGCGCUACACUGACGCACGCAACAGGUGCCUGCUCCGAGAGGACUGGGUAAUCAUUUGAGUGUGCGUCGUGAUGGGGAUAGAAUAUUGUAAUUAUUACUCUUCAACGAGGAAUUCCUAGUAAGCGCCAGUCAGCAGCUUGCGCUGAUUACGUCCCUGCCCUUUGUACACACCGCCCGUCGCUCCUACCGAUGGGUGAUCCGGUGAAUGAUCCGGACUUCAGCGGCUCCCCUGGGGUGCGCCGGAGAAAGUUUUGUGAACCUUAUCACUUGGAGGAAGGAGAAGUCGUAACA
rnacentral:rRNA from 1 species